CACGUAGGGGGCAAGCGUUGUCCGGAUUUAUUGGGCGUAAAGAGCUCGUAGGUGGUUCGGUAAGUCGGGUGUUAAACCCCCAGGCUCAACCUGGGGACGCCACUCGAUACUGCUGUGACUUGAGUCCGGUAGGGGAGCGUGGAAUUCCUGGUGUAGCGGUGAAAUGCGCAGAUAUCAGGAGGAACACCAGCGGCGAAGGCGGCGCUCUGGGCCGGUACUGACACUGAGGAGCGAAAGCGUGGGGAGCAAACAGG
rnacentral:rRNA from 1 species